rnacentral:sRNA from 1 species
CAGUAAAGAAAGAAGGCGCAUGUUUCCAUUAACUGUAGCUAGCGCAGUGCCGGUGCAGAAUUGCAAGGUUGACCAGACUAGCCGUACGUACAAGUGUGAGUCAUGAGUUUCGUAAAGUCAUACACAACAUGGGCAUCAACAAUAUAAAUCAGGGUUGGCCACCCCGGGGUUAUAAAUACGGUAUCAACGGCGAAUAGGUAGUCUGUUUUCUACUGAUUUUCUACCAGCAACGAAAACUUACUUCCGAUUUAAGGACUCGAUAUGGUUUAGAGGGAGAAAUGGACUUGGUAGGCACUCCAUCUUUGACACUGGAGGAUCGGCUUUCGGAAUUAGAGGCAUCCUUGGAAGUAAGAGAAAACUUGACCCAUUGUGGUUUUUGCCGGCUCACAAUUUGGACACUUGACCGUAAGGGAGGGCCACGUACGUGAAAUGGUGGUAAAGUUUGUUCUGAGCUCGAAUGAAUGAGAUAGCUCGGUGGUUGUUGGCUUAGACGGAUUGAUCGGGAAAUACUUAAAGCGGUUUUCAAACCGCUUUUGGUAGU